rnacentral:rRNA from 1 species
AGUGGCGAACGGGUGAGUAACGCGUGGAUGAUCUACCUAAUAGUUGGGGAUAGCCAUCAGAAAUGGUGGGUAAUACCGAAUAAGCUCUGCGACUUUGGUCGUAGAGGAAAGACGCAAUUGUGUCGCUGUUAGAUGAGUCUGCGUACUAUUAGCUAGUUGGUGGGGUAAAGGCUCACCAAGGCGACGAUAGUUAGCCGGCCUGAGAGGGUGUACGGCCACAUUGGGACUGAGAUACGGCCCAG